UUAAAAAGCUCGUAGUUGGAUCUCGGCGGGCAGGGGGUGGUUCGCUCUUCAGCGCUACUGCCCCGCUUUGCCCGUGUGAUUGGCGGAGGUUUCGGGGUGCUCUUCGUUGAGUGACUCGGAGCGCCGUCAGGUUUACUUUGAAAAAAUUAGAGUGCUCAAAGCAGGCUUUUCACGCUUGAAUAUUCGUGCAUGGAAUAAUGGAAUAGGAACUCGUUUCUAUUUUGUUGGUUUUCGGAAAUCGAGUUAAUGAUUAACAGGGACAAUUGGGGGNAUUAGUAUUCAGACGACAGAGGUGAAAUUCUUGGACCGUCUGAAGACUGACUACUGCGAAAGCAUUUGCCAAGAGUGUUUUNAUUAAUUCAAGAAACGAAAAGUUUAGAAGGGUUUCGAAAGGGGCGAAUCCAGAAAUACCCGGCCCCUUAGUUUUCUAACCCAUAAACCGGUGCCAGCUAGCGAUCUGCCGAGUUUUUUUUGUANGCUCCGCAGGAAGCUUUCGGGAAACCAAAGCUUUUGGGUUCCGGGGGAAGUAUGGUUGCAAAGCUGAAACUUAAAGGAAUUGACGGAAGGGCACCACCAGGAGUGGAGCCUGCGGCUUAAUUUGACUCAACACGGGAAAUCUCACCAGGCCCGGACACUGGAAGGAUUGACAGAUUGAGAGCUCUUUCUCGAUUC
rnacentral:rRNA from 1 species